GACGUAGGAGGCGAGCGUUAUCCGGAUUCACUGGGCGUAAAGCGCAUGUAGGCGGUUGAACAAGUCAUGUGUGAAAGCCCCCGGCUCAACUGGGGAGGGUCAUUCGAUACUGUUCGACUCGAAGGCAGGAGAGGGAAGCGGAAUUCCCGGUGUAGUGGUGAAAUGCGUAGAUAUCGGGAGGAACACCAGUGGCGAAGGCGGCUUCCUGGCCUGUUCUUGACGUUGAGGCGCGAAAGCUAGGGGAGCAAACGGG
rnacentral:rRNA from 1 species